UCAACAUUCCAAGUUCUUGAGGUAGGGAGCCUGAAAGUUGGUUCCUUUGAAUGUAGAGAAUUGGCAAUGCUGUCAAAUUCCCUAUAGAAGCUGGUAUUGUACCAGUGAGAAAAUUGUCUGAUAAAUCAAUGUACGUGAGAGAAUUCAACAUCCCAAUUUCUUGGGGAAUGGAACCAGAGAUUUCAUUGACAGAAAAAUCAAGGAUUUUGAGCUUGGAUAGAUUGCCAAUAUGGGAAGGAAUGUUCCCAUGGAAAGAGUUAUUACUAAGGUUAAGCGUGACAAGAUUGGGAAAUGAUGGAAAGCUGAAACUCUGAAGCGUACCUUCCAAACCAGAAUCUGUAAGGCUUAUAUUGGAGACACUUCCUGCCUCAUUGCAGUGGAUACCGAACCAAUUGCAGGGUCUGCCAGCAGUAGUAUUCCAAGAAGACAGGAAAUAUUGGCUUUGAUUAUCAAGAGAAGCCUUCCAUCUCAGAAGAGAAUCUGCUUCUGCUACUUCAGUUUGAACAGCAGGAGGGGAUGCAGAAGAAAGCACAUGAACAGAAAAUACUAGUAAAGGAAUAAGAUGGAAAAGGAGUGAGGAAAAUAAGCGGAGUAAUUUCUGUAGUAUGGAAGCCAUGAACUGUGAGGAUGGAGAGAUGGGUAAAAAAGAAAAUGGGGAUUGAGAGGCAAUGACCGAAGAAGAUAUGCAGAUAAGUUUCUGUCUA
rnacentral:misc_RNA from 1 species